rnacentral:tRNA from 2 species
GCGGGUGUAGCUUAGUGGUAAAGCGCCAGCUUCCCAAGCUGGAUACCAGGGUUCGAUUCCCUGUACCCGCA